rnacentral:rRNA from 1 species
GACGAACCUUGCUAACGUUAUUCGGAAUUACUGGGCUUAAAGCGUGCGCAGGCGGUUUCGUAAGUCUGUCGUGAAAGCCCCGGGCUCAACCUGGGAAUUGCGAUGGAGACUGCGAGGCUAGAGUGUGUCAGAGGGGGGUAGAAUUCCACGUGUAGCAGUGAAAUGCGUAGAUAUGUGGAGGAACACCGAUGGCGAAGGCAGCCCCCUGGGAUAACACUGACGCUCAUGCACGAAAGCGUGGGGAGCAAACGGG